rnacentral:rRNA from 1 species
CCUACGGGGAGCUGCAGUGAGGAAUAUUGGUCAAUGGGCGCGAGCCUGAACCAGCCAAGUAGCGUGAAGGAUGACUGCCCUACGGGUUGUAAACUUCUUUUAUAAAGGAAUAAAGUGAGGCACGUGUGCCUUUUUGUAUGUACUUUAUGAAUAAGGAUCGGCUAACUCCGUGCCAGCAGCCGCGGUAAUACGGAGGAUCCGAGCGUUAUCCGGAUUUAUUGGGUUUAAAGGGAGCGUAGAUGGGUUGUUAAGUCAGUUGUGAAAGUUUGCGGCUCAACCGUAAAAUUGCAAUUGAUACUGGCAGCCUUGAGUACAGUUGAGGUAGGCGGAAUUCGUGGUGUAGCGGUGAAAUGCUUAGAUAUCACGAAGAACUCCGAUUGCGAAGGCAGCUUACUAAACUGCCACUGACAUUGAUGCUCGAAAGCGUGGGUAUCGAACAGGAUUAGAUACCCGGGUAGUC